GACGAACCGAGCGAACGUUGUUCGGAAUCACUGGGCUUAAAGGGCGCGUAGGCGGGCCGCCAAGUUCGAGGUGAAAUCCUCCGGCUCAACCGGAGAACUGCCUCGAAUACUGGAGGCCUCGAGGCGGGUAGGGGCGUGCGGAACUGUGGGUGGAGCGGUGAAAUGCGUUGAUAUCCACAGGAACUCCGGUGGCGAAGGCGGCACGCUGGACCCGAUCUGACGCUGAGGCGCGAAAGCCAGGGGAGCAAACGGG
rnacentral:rRNA from 1 species